UGGACUCAAAUGAACAGUGAGCUCACCCAACACUUCUAUAGUGCUCCAAACAGCUAGAGCACAACAGGACCUACAAAUCACCAAAUUGGUGAUGGAACAAAGCUCUUAGAGCUAGAAUAUAUUGGGAAUGGAAGGCAUAACACGAAAAACACAUGCAGCCAGCAAAAUUACAUGCCCUAGGUCAAGAAUAGUGAAGAGAAAAGAGAGAAAUCUACUUACCAGAUGAAACGGAGAAAUCGAUAAGUAGAAGUAGAGCUCUCUACGCCAGGAACGAUUUGGCAACACCAAAACAAGAUUUGAACAGUGAGAUUUACUAGAAAUCUAGAGAGAAGGCAUAUCACUUGGGUUAGGGCAAGAGAAUAGUUCUAGAGAGAGAAGGGAAUUCUGUGAAAAGAAAUCAGAAAAGGAAUAAGGG
rnacentral:lncRNA from 1 species